rnacentral:lncRNA from 1 species
GACAUAUGAUUUAUUUUGACAUGAGAUUGAUUAUAUGGACAUUUAGAAGUUAUUGUUUAGUUUUGUUUUAAUUAAUAAAUUAUUUAGUUUUUAACUGAGAUGGUGGCUUUGGAUCAAUUUAAGGCCUUCUGUUUUUGGAGGUUCUUCCUCUGAAUUCGUGGCCGGUUGUUGCGGUUCAGAUCCGAGCAGUUGGAUCUGGGGCGUGACACAGGGGCAAGGGAUUCGCCUACAAAUUUACAAAGAAACUUGGAGUAAGUCAAGUCAUUGAGGUCAAGAUGAGCCUCAAAGUCAGACACGCCAUCAGGAUUGCAAGCCAUAAAGAUGGUGACUCCGUGAGGACGCAGUCCAAUGAUUGCGGCUACGUCAAAAAGAGUCGGAGUAAGAGGUCCCCCUUUGAAAAGAAAAACGUUGGAAACAGAGGACCAAAAACAGAGAGCAGAAGCUAAUAGAAGGUUAUUGGCUACAGGGGCUUCCUAGACAGCUGGAUUGCUUCAUAAAUCCCGAUAUCUUUCCAAGAAUCACCGUAAACAGCUUCCACUCGAUCCAACCAGUCCAGAUAGGCAUUUGAAAUACUCGGCCAAGUUCGUAGACUUUUUCCUGUCGAAGCCGAGGAAUACCAGGAGUGGAGAUGAAUGGAUUUAGCCAUUAAUGGAAGACCAUCACUGGAGUAAGGAAAAUCAUCAGGAGUUGGAUCUUCAGUAAAUGAGGGAAACAAGAUUAAUCUAGCGGGGUCUGAAGAGAGAUAUGGUUUAAGUAUAGUCUAGUGAAGGACGAAUAGGUAAAGGAGGAAUUUGCGCCAUUACUCCGAAGAAAAGGGAGAUGAGAAUGAAAGGCGAAAGAUAGAAGACGACAGAAGAAAGAAAGAGACGAGAAAGAGAUUUCAUCGGAGAAGACGAGGAAGAAAUAAAAGAGACAGAGAAGACAAAAAGGAUGAGAAGCUUAGGGAAGAAGAAAAGGCCGUCGCGUCGAUCCGUCGCGUCUAAACGAGUUCCGAGGUUGGCUAUAAUGAUGAAUAGACGGCGGUAAUUAAGAUGACCUAAUUAAUGCCACAGAUAAGACAAAAGUAGAAAACGAGAUCGGGGCCGUAAAAAAGAGAAUAGAUGGUCAAGAUUGAACUAUGCAAAGGAUCAUGCCUCGGAUUACGUCAGGUACUCGUACAGAGAAUUUGAAUUUGAUUGAACCGAGAACCAUGUCUCGGAUCGCGCUUGUUAUUGAAGCGAUGGUGGAAUUUCGGCAGCAGAAAAAUGGACGAUUAAGAUGAAACCGUACCAGAAAGUUGAAAAAUAAUCGCGCCUCAGGUCACGCCAGCUACCAAAGUGUUACUUCGAAAGCUGCCGAGAGGGCAAUUGUUGAGCCAAUUAGGCGCGGACAGGUGACAUGCUGGUAUUCCCUUCAAAAGCAUUUAUUCGGUCGUGCACCAGGAGCACCGGAAAUGUUUAAAGGAAACCAAAUCGCGCCAAUUGAAGGAAGUUACAGUAACCGCAAGCAGUUACAUACGGUUCCAAUCGGCUGGAGGUGGUCCGGGAUAUGAGGAGAUAAUGGCCGAUCGUGUAAGAGCAAUAACUGAUCAAGGGGGCGAUCUAUAAAUAGGAUAAUAACGCCCUAAAAAGAUGUCUUUUCCUCUGUGAACAAAAGACCACCCUUAUUUUCCUCACAAUUUUCUGCAUUUUCUAUGAGUAAUCUACUUGUAAUUUUACUGCUUUUCUUUAGGAGUAGUUCGCUAGAGUAGAUCUCUGGAGUCUGUCUGCCCUACGGGCAUCACUCCGCUGUAAACUACAUAUCCAUCAUUUUACUUCCCAUCAAUCAAUAGAAUCUCUUUUCGGCUCCUCAGGCCGACCAGAUCUCGUGUUGUUUUGGCCAUUCGGCUCUUCUCCCGGCUUCGUUUCCGGCCUACUUUGAGUAUUCGACUCAUCCCAGCCGAAUCGAAUUUACUGUAGAGGUCUUCGAACUUGGCUGAUCCGAUCCCUCGUCAGCCGAAUCAUUUGAUCUGUCGAAGGGCGCAAACUUAGAGGGUCAUUAUCUGCAGCCGUUCCUCACCCCGACAUGCUCCCCGAGGAGGAUCUUUGACUGAGUCAAGGGUCGGAAAAUUCGGCUACCAACAGAGCCAAUUUAAAAUUUACACUUUUAUCGAACCUUUUAGAUUGGUUAAUUAUUAAAUUUUUAAUAUAUAUUUCAAAAGUUAUUUGGCCAAGUUAUUUAAAAAGUUAAACCAAGCUGACGCGCCAAUGAUGAUUGGGAUAGGUUUGACUAAAACCAUGGGAUAAAGUUGCGACCCUUUCCAUUGUGAUCCCAAAUUUGUAGCUCAAACUUUUAAUAAUCUUGAAAUUCGGAGUGAGGUUCAAUACGUUGUUGAUUUUAAAGCUAAUCUUUAUAUUCUUUGAUAUCGCGAGGCCAAAUUGCCCCCCCUCUUGAAUUACAAUAUGAGAUUAACAAACAAACAAUAGAUAAAACUAUUCAUAAUUUCAUAUGGUUAGUUAAAACAAAUCCAAAACGAAUUCAAAUAUUCCUGGCUUUUUUUUUGUGGUUAAUACAUUGAACUAAUCUUCUUCGCUAAUUAAGAACACCGAUCAUGAGGGCAACUUGUUUUCUUCUUCCAUUAGAAUAUGUUUCAAUAAAUAAACAAAACUAAGAUUAAUAUAUAGAUUCGUUAGUUGAUUAUAUGACCAAAAUAAUGUGUUAUUUGUUUAGUUGUUAUCACCUAAUUUGUAAUUUUAAUUUAGAAAUGUAGAUUAAGCUGGACGGAUCAGAAAAUUGGCCCACAUGAGAUCACGAACAGUUCUCCAAUUUUUUAAUUUUUUUUUGGUCCCGAAUAAUUUGCCCCAAAUAUUCUUUUUUUGUUUAUUAAAUUUGCUUCAAAUAUUAAAACGGUGCAAAAUAACGAGGGGUAUCUCAUGGCCCGAGAUUGAUUUCUAAGUGAAGCAAAAUGUAUAAGUGAUGGCCUACAGGCUGAAGGACACAUGCAUAUAUGAUUAAAAAUAAUAAUAAUAACGGCGCUUGAUUAAUUGCAAGUGUAACAAGAACUUACACUAUGGCCCAAUAAUGGCGCUUCUUCAACGAUCGACAUUUACUAUGGCCCAAUUUGAUCUCAUCCCUCUACUACGUCAGAAGAAGACCAUUAUACGAGGGAAGAAGUUUUGUACCAAAUUCGCAGUGGUGGAAAGGUGUACUUCAAUGCCGUGAUGCCUUCAAGUGUGGCUUAUCUUUUGAACUUGGUGACGGACGAAACAUUACAUUAUGGUCCGAUAUUUGGACCGGCGAAACCCCCCUAGGCACCUUUUUUCCAGACAUCUAUGCACGAAUCACAAAUAAGGAAGCUCGGAUAUCUCAAUGCUGGAACCAUAAUGGUUGUAGAUGGUGUUUCAUCACCAGAGGCUUCGCGGCAUCCCACUCGAUCCAUAGUAAUAGACAACUACAAUCACUCAAAGAGAUACUUCUAAGGAGACACCCGUGCAACAGGCAAGACUCGUUCCAAUGGCGAUGGAACACCAACCACCUGUUUUCGGUUAAAUCCCAAUAUCAGUUCAUCACAUACGGCGGAUGUAGAGACCGAUGGAACCAGCACAUCUAGACCUUGAAGAUACCGACCAAAAUCAAGAUUUUCAUCUGGACGUUGCUGCGAAAGAGACUACUCACUACUGACAGGCUGAUCACCAAAGGCAUGUCCGUUGAUCCACUCUGUGUGCUAUGCGGGGUCCUCCCGAAAAACUGCGAUCAUCUAUUCUCUAACUGCGUCAUUGUCCGCUUCCUCCUACUCUCUUUGGCGGACCUUGAUACAUCUCCUGAAACCACGGGACUGGCCGGCGAGCUUUGGGCCAAAGUAUCUGAAUCCCCCAAUGCCGCGAUGAAAUUCAAAGGCCUAACUCAACUAGCGGCAACUUGGUGGGUCGUCUGGACUAAUAGAAAUUUCGUCAUCUUCCGGGCCGCACCACCCAACGCAGUACGAUCAAUUGAACGCAUCAAGGGACUCUUAAAUGACCGGAGCAUACUGUCCUGACCUUGCUCCUCACCUAGCUUACCCUCCCCCCCUCCUCCCUUCCCUCUCUAGCUUGUAAUCUCUGUUUUUUCUUCCUUCACUGUUUUCACCUUUUGCCGCCUUUGGAGGCUGUUGUUGCUUCCAUCUUGUACGCUUAAUUCAUCCCGCUUUAUAAAUAAAGCAGGUAACUUGCUACCUUUUUGUCAAAGAAAAAAAAAAAACAAACAAGAACUUACAAGGCAAUUCAUAAAUUAUUUAUCAAGAAGUGUACUCAAAAGUUAAAAUUAAUAAGAGCGCACAAAAAUGGUAGGUCUAAAUUUUGCACCUUUUCAUUCGAAGGCGCCAUACUAGCUGUUGGGAAUCUGGUACUCACCCCAGUACCGAAUUUUGUAAAUCCGCAACCCGCUCCGAUACCGACUGUUGUAGAUCCGGUAUUGAUUGUUGGGAUUCCGCAAUAGAAACGUCGAAUCGGAUUUUUAUCAUAAACCUGUCUCCUCAGCAGAAGCUGAUAUAAUCACAAAAGAGAAAAAAAAAUCAAAACAGAAAAUAUACGGAUAAAAUAAGAUUCAUUAAAUAAGAGAAGAUUACAUCUGACUUCUCUUCUGCAACAGAGUAGCUACAACCCGAGCCCUCUUUCUGAAUUUCUUCUACUAUUCUCUCGUCUUUUAUAAAUCUAAAAGAUAACUCUCUUUCUCUCUCACAUGCACUCGUGCACUAGGUGCAUGCAACCGGCCAACUCUCUCUCUGGUACAACCCACCAAAGAGCUUCAACUUUUUGGCCAUACUCUCUCUCCAAAAGCACCUCACAUGGUGCUUAUAUAAUGCUUACAAUAAAACGUACCCAAAUUCUAGUAUAUUUAGAAUUCCUAUUCUAAUAAAUAUUUAAAUCUAUAUUUAGUUUAUCUUCAAAAGAUUUAAAUAUUUAUUCUAAUCUAGUUAGAUUCAUACUCUAAUUAAUAUUUAAAUUUUUAAUUUAUCUCCAACAGAUUUAAAUAUUAAUUCUUAUCCACUAGAAUUAAUCUACAAAUCUAACCAAAUCCUAACAUUCUCAACCUUGGUUGGAUUUGUAGUCUUCAACUGCUGU